rnacentral:rRNA from 1 species
GGGUCCGCACAAGCGGUGGAGUAUGUGGUUUAAUUCGAUGCAACGCGAAGAACCUUACCAAGGCUUGACAUAUAGAGGAAAAGUGCAGAAAUGCACUCCCCGCAAGGUCUCUAUACAGGUGGUGCAUGGUUGUCGUCAGCUCGUGUCGUGAGAUGUUGGGUUAAGUCCCGCAACGAGCGCAACCCUCGUCCUAUGUUGCCAGCACGUAAUGGUGGGAACUCAUGGGAUACUGCCGGGGUCAACUCGGAGGAAGGUGGGGAUGACGUCAAAUCAUCAUGCCCCUUAUGUCUUGGGCUUCACGCAUGCUACAAUGGCCGGUACAGAGGGCUGCAAUACCGUAAGGUGGAGCGAA